rnacentral:rRNA from 1 species
AGUGAACGCUGGCGGUAGGCCUAACACAUGCAAGUCGAACGGCAGCACAGUAAGAGCUUGCUCUUACGGGUGGCGAGUGGCGGACGGGUGAGGAAUACAUCGGAAUCUACUUUUUCGUGGGGGAUAACGUAGGGAAACUUACGCUAAUACCGCAUACGACCUACGGGUGAAAGCAGGGGACCUUCGGACCUUGCGCGAUUGAAUGAGCCGAUGUCGGAUUAGCUAGUUGGCGGGGUAAAGGCCCACCAAGGCGACGAUCCGUAGCUGGUCUGAGAGGAUGAUCAGCCACACUGGAACUGAGACACGGUCCAGACUCCUACGGGAGGCAGCAGUGGGGAAUAUUGGACAAUGGGCGCAAGCCUGAUCCAGCCAUACCGCGGGGGUGAAGAAGGCCUUCGGGUUGUAAAGCCCUUUUGUUGGGAAAGAAAAGCAGCAGGUUAAUACCCCGCUGUUCUGACGGUACCCAAAGAAUAAGCACCGGCUAACUUCGU